rnacentral:rRNA from 1 species
UACGGGGGGGGCAAGCGUUGUUCGGAAUUACCGGGCGUAAAGGGCUCGUAGGCGGCCAACUAAGUCAGACGUGAAAUCCCUCGGCUUAACCGGGGAACUGCGUCUGAUACUGGAUGGCUUGAGAUUGGGAGAGGGAUGCGGAAUUCCAGGUGUAGCGGUGAAAUGCGUAGAUAUCUGGAGGAACACCGGUGGCGAAGGCGGCAUCCUGGACCAACACUGACGCUGAGGGAGCGAAAGCCAGGGGAGCAAACGGG